rnacentral:rRNA from 1 species
UACGAUGGGGGCGAGCGUUGUUCGGAAUUAUUGGGCGUAAAGGGUGCGUAGGCGGUUUGGUAAGUCUUAUGUGAAAUCUACAGGCUCAACUUGUAGUCUGCAUGAGAAACUGCCGGGCUUGAGUAUGGGAGAGGUGAGUGGAAUUCCUGGUGUAGCGGUGAAAUGCGUAGAUAUCAGGAGGAACACCUGUGGCGAAAGCGGCUCACUGGACCAUAACUGACGCUGAUGCACGAAAGCUAGGGGAGCAAACAGG